UGCGUGAAUGAGAUAUUUUGAUAUGUAUGUAUUAUAUGUGCCAAUGGCUAUGUUACGUAAAUCGUUUGUGUGUGUUCUUACUCUAAAAUCGUCUUUAGAAUUAAAAUUUCAUUAACGAAAAAUAUUUUUUUACGUUAUGUAAAUUAUAAGAAAUAAUAUUAAUUGAUAGUAAGGAACUUUGUUCAUACCUUACAAUAGUUACGUGUAGGUAUACAGCAGGUGUGACAUCCUUGCCUACACUCGAAAAUGGUCAGUUCUCCAGUGACCAAAUGAUCAGCAAAAAGAUUGUGUAAACUAGCGUUCCAUCGCUUAGGCAAUUCAGAGGAUGAUAUCGCCAUAUUCUCUAGAGAGGCACAAAGUUCAAUCUUUGCCAUUGCAGUCUUAAAGGAUAACUGUAAAAUAAUGUACAAUAU